CCACCCGGGCGCUGGCUGCAUCCUGUGGGUGAUGAGGGGGGGUCCCAAAUGUCCGGGGGAGACCCCUGAGGGACAGGGGAGACCCUCGAGGGGCACAGGAGACCCCCAAGGGUCCCCCAACCCCUUCCCUACAAGACCUCAGGGUGGGUCCCGCCACUCACCCGAGUGUGUUCGGGUUGUUCCGGAGGAGUUUUGGGGGGUUCGGUUCGGGUUCUUCCGGACGGGACGGUUCCGGUUCGGGUCCCCUCUGAGUGGGUUUGGGUUCCUUAGCGCGGGACGCUGCCGCUUCGGGUGUUUCGGGUCUCUCUGGAGCGGUUCUGCCCCUCCCGGUUCGGCUUCCCUCAGGCGGGUCCGGCUUCCCUCAGGCGGGUCCGGCUCCCCUCAGGUGGGCUCAGGUUCCCCUCAGGCAGGUUCGGGUCCCUCCGGACAGCUUCGGGUCCACGUUCGGGCUCCCCCGGGCGAGUUCGGAUCCCUCCGGGAGUGUUCGGGUCCCCCUUCGAGUCCAAGUUCGGGUCUCUCCGGAGCGGUUCGGCUCCUCCCGGUUCGGGUUCUUCAGGCGGGUUCGGGUCAAUUAGCGCGGGUUGGUCCCGGUUCGGGUGUUUUCGGAGCGGUUCGGCUCCUCCCGGUUCGGCUCCCCUCGGGCGGGUUCGGGUCCCUCCGCCGGGCCGGUCCCAGCCGUGUCACUCCGGGCGGUGCCCACCGGGGCGUGGCCAGAGGGGUGUGACGUCAGGGGGUCCCGGGCAAUGACGUCAGGGCAUCACCACGAACGCGGGGGGGCUCUGAGGGGGUCUCUGGGGUAUCCCCAAAGUGGGGGAGGGGCACCCACGUGCGACCCCCGCCCUCGGGUGGGUGACACGGGGGACACCGGGCGGCGCCCCCACCCCUCCCCCACUUCCCCCUCCCUCCCGGGCCCGUUUUGGGCCGUUUCGCGCUGUUUUGGGAAGUUUGGCCGUUGCCGGGGGCAACGCGACCGCGACGGCCGCAAAUAUUUACUGGGUUGUCA
rnacentral:lncRNA from 1 species